AUGAACGCUGGCGGCGUGCCUAAUACAUGCAAGUCGAGCGAACGGACGAGAAGCUUGCUUCUCUGAUGUUAGCGGCGGACGGGUGAGUAACACGUGGAUAACCUACCUAUAAGACUGGGAUAACUUCGGGAAACCGGAGCUAAUACCGGAUAAUAUUUUGAACCGCAUGGUUCAAAAGUGAAUGACGGUCUUGCUGUCACUUAUAGAUGGAUCCGCGCUGCAUUAGCUAGUUGGUAAGGUAACGGCUUACCAAGGCAACGAUGCAUAGCCGACCUGAGAGGGUGAUCGGCCACACUGGAACUGAGACACGGUCCAGACUCCUACGGGAGGCAGCAGUAGGGAAUCUUCCGCAAUGGGCGAAAGCCUGACGGAGCAACGCCGCGUGAGUGAUGAAGGUCUUCGGAUCGUAAAACUCUGUUAUUAGGGAAGAACAUAUGUGUAAGUAACUGUGCACAUCUUGACGGUACCUAAUCAGAAAGCCACGGCUAACUACGUG
rnacentral:rRNA from 1 species